CCUCGUAGCUUGAUCACGAUA
rnacentral:miRNA from 1 species